rnacentral:rRNA from 1 species
GAUGAACGCUAGCUACAGGCUUAACACAUGCAAGUCGAGGGGCAGCAUGGUCUUAGCUUGCUAAGGCCGAUGGCGACCGGCGCACGGGUGAGUAACACGUAUCCAACCUGCCGUCUACUCUUGGACAGCCUUCUGAAAGGAAGAUUAAUACAAGAUGGCAUCAUGAGUCCACAUGUUCACAUGAUUAAAGGUAUUCCGGUAGACGAUGGGGAUGCGUUCCAUUAGAUAGUAGGCGGGGUAACGGCCCACCUAGUCUUCGAUGGAUAGGGGUUCUGAGAGGAAGGUCCCCCACAUUGGAACUGAGACACGGUCCAAACUCCUACGGGAGGCAGCAGUGAGGAAUAUUGGUCAAUGGGCGAGAGCCUGAACCAGCCAAGUAGCGUGAAGGAUGACUGCCCUAUGGGUUGUAAACUUCUUUUAUAAAGGAAUAAAGUCGGGUAUGGAUACCCGUUUGCAUGUACUUUAUAAAUAAGGAUCGGCUAACUCCGUGCCAGCAGCCGCGGUAAUACGGAGGAUCCGAGCGUUAUCCGGAUUUAUUGGGUUUAAAGGGAGCGUAGAUGGAUGUUUAAGUCAGUUGUGAAAGUUUGCGGCUCAACCGUAAAAUUGCAGUUGAUACUGGAUAUCUUGAGUGCAGUUGAGGCAGGCGGAAUUCGUGGUGUAGCGGUGAAAUGCUUAGAUAUCACGAAGAACUCCGAUUGCGAAGGCAGCCUGCUAAGCUGCAACUGACAUUGAGGCUCGAAAGUGUGGGUAUCAAACAGGAUUAGAUACCCUGGUAGUCCACACGGUAAACGAUGAAUACUCGCUGUUUGCGAUAUACAGCAAGCGGCCAAGCGAAAGCGUUAAGUAUUCCACCUGGGGAGUACGCCGGCAACGGUGAAACUCAAAGGAAUUGACGGGGGCCCGCACAAGCGGAGGAACAUGUGGUUUAAUUCGAUGAUACGCGAGGAACCUUACCCGGGCUUAAAUUGCAGAUGAAUUACGGUGAAAGCCGUAAGCCGCAAGGCAUCUGUGAAGGUGCUGCAUGGUUGUCGUCAGCUCGUGCCGUGAGGUGUCGGCUUAAGUGCCAUAACGAGCGCAACCCUUGUUGUCAGUUACUAACAGGUUCCGCUGAGGACUCUGACAAGACUGCCAUCGUAAGAUGUGAGGAAGGUGGGGAUGACGUCAAAUCAGCACGGCCCUUACGUCCGGGGCUACACACGUGUUACAAUGGGGGGUACAGAGGGCCGCUACCACGCGAGUGGAUGCCAAUCCCAAAAACCUCUCUCAGUUCGGACUGGAGUCUGCAACCCGACUCCACGAAGCUGGAUUCGCUAGUAAUCGCGCAUCAGCCACGGCGCGGUGAAUACGUUCCCGGGCCU